rnacentral:sRNA from 1 species
AUAUAUGUAAGAAAAUUUAGUAAAAUAUGAUUUUAGUAUUGUUUGGUUUUUUACGCAGAGUUCAAUUAUAUUAUUUUACUACAUCAAUUUUUUUUGUAUUGUUUUGCAGAGUUUAGUUAUAUGAAUUGUAUCCUCAUCCUGUGUGAAAACUCUAGAAAUUGUGUAACCACAUCCUUCAGCUUUCUCCUCAAUUGAUCCGUUCAAAUUAUGUAUUAAUGAUGUAGCUGCUUUAAUUGAAGUCCUAACAAUCUACACCCCAAAUUCUCAAUGAUAUGUUUGGGAUUGUAGUUGGGGAUGGACGAAGGCCAACCCGCUGCUCCAAUCAUAGCACUACGAAUGGUGGAAAUGUCAAGAAUAAACCACUCGGGCUCAAUAUCGUCCACAUUCUCAUUAAGAUAACUUAAUAGGUCGUCAUCGUCUUUAAGAAACAAGACUCUAGUUAUUGAUGAGCGACUGUUAAUUUAUAGAAGUUUUACUU